GUUUGCCAGAAAAACAGGAAGGACAACUAGGCCCAGAGAACAAGGCCCAAAGAUGGGCCAAUAGGCCUAGACACAACAAGUCCAGAAAUGCCUUUUUGCUGGGGAUGAUUGGACUUCGUGGUGAUCCUUCAGUGAACCCAAGACACCAGAACUAAAAAGGUGGGACAGUGCAGUGUGGAGCGCAGUGGCGAAGGCAUCUUCUGUGGACCUGUUUGCUCUGAAGGCAAACUGCUGUGGGUCGAAGAUGGCUGGGAGGCUGGCUUUAAUGUACUGUUGGACUAUCCUCUGAAAGCACUUCAUGAUGACCGGGGUGUUGAACAGUCAUCUCAUCCAUAAUGUAUCCUGCUUACAGAGACAGUGUUUAUGGAAGAUGACAGGACUCAUUUAGUGUGCUGGCUGACAGCCCUGUCCUACAAUCAUGACAAUGUGAACGUAUGCAGAUAAAUGGCUUAUGCAAUUUGUAUAACCCUUGUGACAAUUCUGGGUUUAGGGAUGAUUAUUUAUUACAUAUCACCAUUCAGUUGUACAUUAUACACUACUUCAAAAGUAAUUCCUCCCAUUCACUGUAGCAAUUGCAUCCAUUUAUGUUGGACAGCAGCCCAAUACUAGAUAAGGGGUUGGAAGAUGGAUAAAUGGACAUUUAAUGCAGCAAAAAUACAGAUAUGGCUGCAGCAUAAAAGCCAUCCAUCUGCCUGUAUAAGUUACGGUUGUCAGGGAGGACUGGAGGCUGUGCCAGGCAUCACAGGACACAUGGCGAGGUGUGACAGAGCCUACCAGUCCACUGGAUUUACUGGUGUAAAAAUGUUUUCAUCAGGGACAAUGACAAGUGGAGAUAAUUUCCAUGUUUUUAAAGGCACCAUUAUGGGAGAACAAACACCUCCAUGUGUUAAACUCAGUAAUUGUCAUUCAUACAGUGCAUUAGUAACAAGGGUUAAAGAGGUUGUCUUAGUUUGCUUUCACUCCAGCAGGAUAACUUCUUGGACCUGAGGCCGAGGGGGGCUGUAGUUUCCAUUUUAUGCACAGUAAUAGUGCUGGGGUGCCUCGUUAUAUUUACCACUUAAAAUGACUGUAGGAUAUUUAACCUAUUUAACAAUGAUGGAUGGUACUGCUAGUGCAUGAUUAAUUGAUUAUAUUAGAUUUUGUUGGGGUUGUCAUUCAGUCUGGGGGGCUAACUGGUUAUUUAAGGGAACAGACUCAUUUCCAGUGCUGGGGGAAAACUGGCAAUCUGGCAUCCUGGGCAUUUUCCCAGUGGGUUGAUCGGUAUGCAAAAUAUUGAAAAUUAUAUUUCCCCUUUGGCGAAAUUCACCGUGGGGGAUCCCAGAGUCCAGGGUUGAUUUCUAAUCCCAGUCCAGUGCCAUAACUCCAGUGCACUAUUUACCAAAGCAGUCUUAGUUUUAUUUUUGCUUAUCUUGUCCUAGUCCACUCGAGUAUUUGUAUUUAUUUUUCAUUAAUUCAUUCCGUUAAAUUCACUAUUAAGGUGGGUGCGGUUGUCACACACUACAAUAUGCGGAGUUCACGGAUAACGGUGCGACCCGGGCAGAGGAUGACCUGCAGGCCGCAGCUGUUUUUCCUGGCUUCCGAAAUCAUUAAAUGCUCACGAAAAUCCCUUGAAUAAUCACAAA